rnacentral:rRNA from 1 species
CGAGCGAAACGGGAAAAGCCCAAACCAACAAGCUUGCUUGUUGGGGUUGUAGGACUCCGAUAUGGUAGUCUAUUCAGAUAGUCGAAAUACUUGGAAAAGUAUGUCAAAGAGGGUAAAAACCCCGUAGGCGAAAUUUGGAUAACACCUAGGAGGAUCCUGAGUACGGCGGAACACGAGGAAUUCCGUCGGAAUCCGGGAGGACCAUCUCCCAAGGCUAAAUACUCCCUAGUGACCGAUAGUGAACCAGUACCGUGA